rnacentral:rRNA from 1 species
CAUUGGAAGUAAAAAAGCGUAACAAGGUUUCCGUAGGUGAACCUGCGGAAGGAUCAUUACCUAGAGUUUGUGGGCUUUGCCUGCUAUCUCUUACCCAUGUCUUUUGAGUACUUACGUUUCCUCGGCGGGUCCGCCCGCCGAUUGGACAAAAUUAAACCCUUUGCAGUUGCAAUCAGCGUCUGAAAAACAUAAUAGUUACAACUUUCAACAACGGAUCUCUUGGUUCUGGCAUCGAUGAAGAACGCAGCGAAAUGCGAUAAGUAGUGUGAAUUGCAGAAUUCAGUGAAUCAUCGAAUCUUUGAACGCACAUUGCGCCCCUUGGUAUUCCAUGGGGCAUGCCUGUUCGAGCGUCAUUUGUACCUUCAAGCUCUGCUUGGUGUUGGGUGUUUGUCUCGCCUUUGCGUGUAGACUCGCCUCAAAACAAUUGGCAGCCGGCGUAUUGAUUUCGGAGCGCAGUACAUCUCGCGCUUUGCACUCAUAACGACGACGUCCAAAAAGUACAUUUUUACACUCUUGACCUCGGAUCAGGUAACUGCCCGUC